rnacentral:rRNA from 1 species
GACGAACGCUGGCGGCGUGCCUAAUACAUGCAAGUUGAGCGAUGAAGAUUGGUGCUUGCACCAAUUUGAAGAGCAGCGAACGGGUGAGUAACGCGUGGGGAAUCUGCCUUUGAGCGGGGGACAACAUUUGGAAACGAAUGCUAAUACCGCAUAAUAACUUUAAACAUAAGUUUUAAGUUUGAAAGAUGCAAUUGCAUCACUCAAAGAUGAUCCCGCGUUGUAUUAGCUAGUUGGUGAGGUAAAGGCUCACCAAGGCGAUGAUACAUAGCCGACCUGAGAGGGUGAUCGGCCACAUUGGGACUGAGACACGGCCCAAACUCCUACGGGAGGCAGCAGUAGGGGAUCUUCGGCCAUGGACGAAAGUCUGACCGAGCAACGCCGCGUGAGUGAAGAAGGUUUUCGGAUCGUAAAACUCUGUUGGUAGGGAAGAACGUUGGUGAGAGUGGAAAGCUCAUCAAGUGACGGUAACUACCCAGAAAGGGACGGCUAACUACGUG